GUUCACUUGGCUGCAGAGUCUUGUAGGGGACAGAAUUACGUAGAGACAGCAUUUUACCAUGUUAUCCAGGCUAGUCUCAAACUCCUAGCCUCAAAUGAUCUGCCUGCCUCGGCCUUCCAGAGUGCUGGGAUUACAGGCUUGAGCCACUGCGCCUGGCUAGUAAGUUGUAUUUUUAAAAUUACACUUUUAACUGAUGGUUAUUUGGUUGUAAAAACGUAAUUGAGUUUCAUUUACUGAUAACAAUCUUGUUAAUUUUCUUAUUCUUUCUAAGCAUUUACAGUUUUUAUUGGUAUUUGAAUAUUGUCUGUAGACAAUCAUAAUUUGGGAAUAAAGAAUUUUUGUACCUUUCUUUUAUAUGCUGACUAUUAGGGAAAUUUUUCUAAUUAUUCACCAUUAAGUAUAAUAUUUAUUUUGGAUUUUUGCAAAUAUUCUUCUUCUAGUUAAGGACAUUCCUUUUUAUUUCUUUACUUCUUUUUCUUUCUUUUUUUUUUUUUUUGAGAUGGAGUUUUGCUCUUGUUGCCCAGGCUGGAGUGCAAUAGCUUAAUCUUGGCUCACCGCAACCUCUGCCUCCUGGGUUCAAGCGAUUCUCCUGCCUCAGCCUCCUGAGUAGCUGGGAUUACAGGCAUGCGACACCAUGCCUGGCUAAUUUUGUAUUUUCAGUAGAGACGGGGUUUCUCCAUGUUGGUCAGGCUGAUCUUGAACUUCCAACCUCAGGUGAUCUGCCCACCUCUGCCUUCCAAAGUGCUGAGAUUACAGGCGUGAGCCACUGCGCUCGGCCCUACGUGAUUUUUUUUUUUUUUAAAAAAAAGCUUAGCAAACUGAAGUAGAAAGAAAUGGCGGGGUAGUGAGCCCCGUAUGGAGGCUGCAGUGAGCCGAGAUUGCGCCACUGCACUCCAGCCUGGGCAACAGACCAAGACUCCAUCUCAAAAAAAAAAAAAAAAAAAUCAUCUAUGAGUGUUGAAUUUUAAAUAGCUUUUUGUGUGACAGCUCAUAUGAUCUUGUCAUUUAUCUCCCUUAAUAUGUUAAAAUGAUGAAUGCCCAAAAUGCAUACCUAAUUUAAGCCAAAUUUGGUCAUGUGAACUAUCUUUUUUUUUUUUUUCAUGAUUGCUGGCUUUGAUUUACUAAAAUUUUGUUUGGGGACUGUCUAAGUUCACGUGAAAUAUUGACUAAUGAUUUUUCAUUUUUAUAUUACUUUGCCCUAUUUCAAUAGCAAAGCUGUACUUUUCUCAUCAAAUGAGUGGGAAAUUUAUUCUCCUCUUUCUGUUCCCUGCAAGAGUCUGAAGUGAUAUGUAAUUACCUGUUCCUUGACAUUUAGUUGGAAUUUGCUUUAAGAACUACUGGGCCUGGGCUGGGUGCAGUGGCUCAUGCCUAUAAUCCCAGCACUUUGGGAGGCUGAGGCGGGCCGAUCACUUGAGGUCAGGAGUUCGAGACCAGCCUGACCAUCAUGGUAAAACCCUGUUUCUACUAAAAAUACAAAAGUUAGUUGGGCAUGGUGGCACUUGCCUGUAGUCCCAGCUACUUGGGAGGUUGAGGCAGGAGAAUCACUUGAGUCUGGGAGGUGGAGGUUGCAGUGAGUUGAGGUAGGGCCACUGCACUCCAGCCUGGGUGAUAGAACGAGACUCCGUCUAAAAAAAGAACAAAACGAAAAACCAACCUCCCCUGCCAAAAAAAAAGACGACUAACUGCUGGGCCUGGAAGUUAUUUAUGGAAUAGUUUUAUAGAUUUAAUUUAUAAUAAAAUAUAUUUUUUAAAUUGACAUAUGGCUGUGUGCGGUGGCUCACACCUGUAAUCCCAGCACUUUGGAAGGCCGAGGUGGGAGAAUCACUUGAGCACACGAGUUUGAGACCAGCCUGGGCAACAUGGCGAGAUUCUGUCUCUAUCUAUUAAAAAAAAGUUGAUAUACAAUAUUUUUUUUGAUAGAUUUAAUUACUUUAAUGGUUAAAGGAAGACUCAAGUUUUCUAAUUAUUUUUUAGUCAGUUCUGGUAGAAUUCUUUUCUAGGAAUUUUUCCAUUUUAUCUAAGUUUUAAAAUUUAUUGGCAUAAAGUCAUUCAUAGUAUGUUUUAUUAUCUUUUAAAUCUUUGCUCUAUCUGUAAUUGUUCAUUCCUUUUAUUAUUUGUAAUGUUAUUUUUUGAGCCUCACAUAAUUUUCUUAUUGAUCAUUCUCACCUAAAAUUUAUCAAUUUUAUUAGACUUCAUAAAGAACCAACUUCAUUAAAGCUCUCUAUUUUAUUUUUGUUUUCUAUUUUACCAAUUUCCGUUCUCAUUUUCUUAUUUUCUUAUGUCUACUUUCCUUGGGUUUAUCCUGUGGUUAUUUUCUUUUUUUUUUUUGACACAGAGUCUCUCACUCUGUCACCCAGGCUGGAGUGCAGUGGUGUUAUCUCGGCUCACUGCAACCUCUGCCUCCUGGGUUCAAGUGAGUCUCCU
rnacentral:lncRNA from 1 species